AAGAAGAUAACUCUGAGGAAGCUCUCCUGCAGAAGGAUGAUGUAAAAAAUGGAAAGACUGCCUUUUUGGCAAAGUUGGCUACUCUGAAGACCAGCCCCUCUGAAGAUGAAGCAGCAUUUUGGGGCGAGCUUUGGAACGCAGCCAAGAACCUUGUUGGGUGAGAAGCGACCAGCAUGGGGAUGCCAAGGAUCCUUUUCAGUCUCCAUAUGGAAUCAGCUAUCACCUCUGAAGUCAUCACUAACAUUACCUCAGUGAAUCAUUCCAACACCCACCCAUCAAUGAUUGUCAAAUAAACAACAGUAAUACAGUUAAUUGGUACUUUGGUACUGAGAAGAACUCAUCAACAUUCUUAAGAAAAUAUGUUUUAUCCAUAAACAUGUACUUUAUGUCCUGACACAUGACAGUUGAUUGGUCAAGUUAGUGGAUAAAUAAUUGUAUGGUUGUAUGGUUGACUUGUCAUAUUGUGAUCCUCCAAUAAACUAUCAAGCAUAAGA